rfam:HIV-1 isolate ARMS008 from Argentina gag protein (gag) and pol protein (pol) genes, partial cds; vif protein (vif), vpr protein (vpr), tat protein (tat), rev protein (rev), vpu protein (vpu), envelope glycoprotein (env), and nef protein (ne
UUUUUUAGGGAAAAUAUGGCCUUCCAACAGCGGAAGGCCAGGGAAUUUCCUU